CCCCCAAUAUAAAUCUGAUUUGUUGUUCUUUGUAAUAUUUAGUGUUUUUUAUUUUUUAGCUUUCUUUUGUUUCACAAAAUAAAUAUUUAUUUGGUUGUUAUCUACGCUCUUGGUAUGUAUAUAUUUCAUCUUUUAUGAUUGUUGCCGGCUUAAACAACACCUCUAUAUUUAAAUCCUGACUCUGCCCCUGCAUAUGUCAAAUAGGAAUUGAAGGCAAUGGCAAUGCAUGUGAGCUGUGAGGCUGAGCUCAGUGUUUUUUCUUCUUUAUGAAGUAUGAGAACCCGAAUUGUUAUCUUACCCACACCAAUAUCAUUUUUGGGACCUUUUUUUUAUAUUCUUUUUGGGGGAGGAGGAUUAGUUGACAAAAGUGGUCCUUUCCUUUAUUUAUUUAAGAGAAAAAAAGAAAAAGGAAGGUAGACACAUGCUGCAUUUGCCUUAAUUUAUAGCGAUGACACUACUAUACAAGGACAAAAAUUUUAAGAUAAGUGAUGAAGUAGACCUACCACAAAUCAAUCAAUGUCCUUGUACACAAAACACAUAGUUCUGGAUCUAUAUAAACGACUCUAGAACACAAAUAGAAAUGUUGUGCCAUGUGUGUAUGCCUAUUGUGUUGAAUCUCAUCAUGUUUCGUCGUAGAGUGACAAUAAUAAAAGGGAAGAUCAAGAAUGGGGAGUGAAGUCAGUAAGUAAUUUAGCUAGAGAUGCAUGCAUAUGCAAUCGGAAAGGGAGGCAUUAGGAAUCGCAUUGAAGCUAGACUCCAACGUCCUUCCGCCUAGCAAGCUGUUGAAGCAAGAUGUAGUGACAGUGAUCGACGACGCUUUCGAUGGGGGCAGUAUCAUCAAUAAUGGCAAAUCUCACAAGCAUAGGUAAGCAGUUUAACCUUGCAUCGUUUUUAAUAGAUAAAAUAGAGUUGAGCUUCAUCUCUUAUGGCUUAGAGAACCAGACCAAUCAUUAUAACAAGUGUUCAACUCGAAACUAAAUUCUAAAAUGAUAUACAAAUUUAAUUCGUAGAAGUCAGAUGUAUGGCUAAAGUAUCAACAAGUACAUACUAAAUUGGUUUCUCUAAUUUCAUUGAGAGCAAUUGCUAUUUGCUAGUCUAUUUGGUUACUAUUUUUCUACUUACAGGUAAUCUUCAGAGUCGCCUAAUGGAAGCGUUAGGUCUAUUCUUUAUAAGUAGCAUUCAUUUGACGGCCCUGCGUAAUCGUCUCGUCAAUGCCUUGGCUCUCUUUUCUCUCGGCCACUG
rnacentral:lncRNA from 1 species